UGCCAGCAGCCGCGGUAAUACGAAUGGAGCGAGCGUUGUUCGGAAUCCUUGGGCGUAAAGCGUAUGUAGGCGGACUUGAAAGUCAGAAGUGAAAUCCCGGGGCUCAACCUCGGAAUUGCUUUUGAAACUCCAAGUCUAGUGUCCCGGAGGGGUUGACGGAAUUCCUAGUGUAGAGGUGAAAUUCGCAGAUAUUAGGAGGAACACCAGUGGCGUCGGCGGUCAACUGGACGGGUACAGACGCUGAGGUGCGAAAGCGUGGGGAGCAAACAGGAUUAGAUA
rnacentral:rRNA from 1 species